UGCAUGCUUGUCUAGAUGUUUUACUCUAUUUUAUAUUCUAUGUUUUUAUUAUUGAAAUGAAUUAUCACCCCUUUUGUUUGAAUGUUGGAUUUACGUGGGCAUCGUGCAGAUACUCAAGAGUAGAUACGCUGUUGUGAGUGGAAGUUAGCUCCUAGAGCCAUUUCUUUUAGUUUAUUCAUGUUAGUUAUGCUCUGAUAUGUAACACUGGAGAGUGAAUUAUUUAUUUUAUGUUGAAAUUU
rnacentral:lncRNA from 1 species